rnacentral:rRNA from 1 species
UACCAGCACCCCGAGUGGUCGGGACGAUUAUUGGGCCUAAAGCAUCCGUAGCCGGUUCUACAAGUCUUCCGUUAAAUCCACCUGCUCAACAGAUGGGCUGCGGAGGAUACUAUAGAGCUAGGAGGCAGGAGAGGCAAGCGGUACUCAGUGGGUAGGGGUAAAAUCCGUUGAUCCAUUGAAGAACACCAGUGGCGAAGGCGGCUUGCCAGAAUGCGCUCGACGGUGAGGGAUGAAAGCUGGGGGAGCAAACCGG